rnacentral:snRNA from 1 species
GAAUGUGAAGCAGAACUGGCUUUGAUCUGUUAUCCUGUUCACCACCAUGGUUGAUUUGGCUGAUCUAACUGGUUAGAUGGAUGUCCCCUUCUUCUCUCAUCAUUCCGUGUAUGUGCCUCCCAAAGCUUCAAAGCAGGUGACCUUCCCUGAAGGGUGAGGACCAGUUUUCAGUCAAUAAUACAUAAAUAGCUGUGUUUUCUUGCUAGAACCUUCAAAUAAAUUCUCAAGAGACAGAAAUCUGCUACUUUACAAACUCUUACAGGGACUACUACCU